rnacentral:rRNA from 1 species
UACGAAGGGGCUAGCGUUGCUCGGAAUCACUGGGCGUAAAGCGCGCGUAGGCGGAUCGCUAAGUCAGGGGUGAAAUCCCAGGGCUCAACCCUGGAACUGCCUUUGAUACUGACGAUCUGGAGAUCGGGAGAGGUUGGUGGAAUUCCGAGUGUAGAGGUGAAAUUCGUAGAUAUUCGGAGGAACACCAGAAGCGAAGGCGGCCAACUGGCCCGAUACUGACGCUGAGGCGCGAAAGCGUGGGGAGCAAACAGG